CCUACGGGAGGCAGCAGUGGGGGAUAUUGCACAAUGGGGGAAACCCUGAUGCAGCGACGCCGCGUGGGUGAAGAAGCGCCUCGGCGCGUAAAGCCCUGUCAGCAGGGAAGAAAAUGACGGUACCUGAAGAAGAAGCCCCGGCUAACUACGUGCCAGCAGCCGCGGUAAUACGUAGGGGGAAAGCGUUAUCCGGAUUUACUGGGUGGAAAGGGGGCGGAGACGGGGGUGCAAGCCAGGAGUGAAAGCCCGGGGCCCAACCCCGGGACUGCUCUUGGAACUGCGUGGCUGGAGUGCAGGAGGGGCAAGCGGAAUUCCUGGUGUAGCGGUGAAAUGCGUAGAUAUCAGGAGGAACACCGGUGGCGAAGGCGGCCUGCUGGACUGCAACUGACGUUGAGGCCCGAAGGCGUGGGGAGCAAACAGGAUUAGAUACCCGAGUAGUC
rnacentral:rRNA from 1 species